rnacentral:rRNA from 1 species
UACGAAGGGGGCUAGCGUUGCUCGGAAUUACUGGGCGUAAAGGGCGCGUAGGCGGCACUGUUAGUCAGGCGUGAAAGUCCUGGGCUCAACCUGGGAAUUGCGCUUGAGACUGGAUAGCUUGGAGUGCGGCAGAGGGAGGUGGAAUUCCCGGUGUAGUGGUGGAAUGCGUAGAUAUCGGGAGGAACACCAGUGGCGAAGGCGGUUGCCUGGAGCUUUGCUGACGCUGAUGCGCGAAAGCGUGGGGAGCGAUCCGG